AUCUAGCCGAAGAGUCCCAACUAGGACGAAACGCGCAUCUGAGAU
rfam:Schistosoma rodhaini strain Burundi genome assembly, scaffold: SROB_scaffold0012050